UGGGGGAUAUUGCACAAUGGGGGAAACCCUGAUGCAGCGACGCCGCGUGUAGGAAGACGGUCCUCUGGAUUGUAAACUACUGUCUUCGGGGACGAUAAUGACGGUACCCGAGGAGGAAGCUCCGGCUAACUACGUGCCAGCAGCCGCGGUAAUACGGAGGAUCCGAGCGUUAUCCGGAUUUAUUGGGUUUAAAGGGAGCGUAGGCGGAUUAUUAAGUCAGUUGUGAAAGUUUGCGGCUCAACCGUAAAAUUGCAGUUGAUACUGGUAGUCUUGAGUGCAGUAGAGGUAAGCGGAAUUCGUGGUGUAGCGGUGAAAUGCUUAGAUAUUAGGAGGAACACCAGUGGCGAAGGCGGCUUACUGGACUGUAACUGACGUUGAGGCUCGAAAGUGUGGGUAUCAAACA
rnacentral:rRNA from 1 species